AAUUCUCAACUCCUCAACAUUUUUGUGUUGAAGAGCUUGGACUGUGGAGGUGUGCUGGCCUUGACCAAGGUCGGCUCCUCUGAAAUGCAUUAGCGGAACCGUUUGCGAUCUGCCACAAGUGUGAUAAUUAUCUACACUACGGGGGAUUGCUCUCAGAGUGUUCAGCUUCCAAUCGUCUUCGGACAAACUUCUGAAA
rnacentral:misc_RNA from 1 species